UACGUAGGGUGCAAGCGUUGUCCGGAAUUAUUGGGCGUAAAGAGCUCGUAGGUGGUCUGUUGCGUCGGCUGUGAAAACCCGGGGCUCAACCCCGGGCCUGCAGCCGAUACGGGCAGACUAGAGUUCGGCAGGGGAGACUGGAAUUCCUGGUGUAGCGGUGAAAUGCGCAGAUAUCAGGAGGAACACCGGUGGCGAAGGCGGGUCUCUGGGCCGAUACUGACACUGAGGAGCGAAAGCGUGGGGAGCGAACAGG
rnacentral:rRNA from 1 species